rnacentral:rRNA from 1 species
GUGUGUCCCAAAAAAGAUCAAGGAGAUAUGGGUUUUCAUGAUAUUCAUUGUUUCAACCCAUUAAUGUUGGCAAAACAGGGUUGUCAUCUUCUCGAGAAUCCAGACUCCUUAUGUGCCACUAUUUUGAGAGUGGAAUGCUUUCCUGAUGGUGAUUUACGGAAUGCAAAGAUGAAAAAUGGAUCGUCGUUCACCUGGCAGAGCAUUAUGUUGGGCGUGAAUCUGCUAAACCAUGGCUAUAUUUGA